UGUCCCCUGCUUAGCCAGUGGCCCCUCCAGCCUGCUGGUCGAGGCUUAGAAUUCCGGAGGAUCCAGCUCCUCUGGGUCCUGCCGCUCGCGCCGCCCAGCCCCUGCAGCGCUCCUGGAGCAUGGAUGCUGCUGCUCUGUGAUUUGUCCUUCUUGCUUUCUUACCUCUUUUUCCCCAAGGCUGGAUUCCAGAAAAACUUCUCUGUGUGCAUGUGCUGCUAGCUCCUUGGCCCCUCAGCUAUGCUUUCCAAUCAACCCAGCUUAACCUAAAAGAGAGUAACCUCUGCGAGUAAUGGAUUCUUCCCCACGCCAAGCUGCUCUUGUUUUGCAGACAGAACUCCUCCUGCUGACAUAGUGCUUAGGGCAUGGGGGUCCAGUCGGGUGCAGAAUAGCACCUAGAAUGCCAGCCCUUGUGGCGUGGGCAUGCCUGCAACCCCAAGGGUCCCCAGCUGCUGUGUUCUGACCGUCUCUCCAAACCUGCUCCCCUCGGCCCACCUGAAGGAAGACCCCUCAUGCUGGGGGAAGGUGCACAGAGACCAGCUGACCUGGCAGUCCUCAGGCCCUUCCUGCUCCAGGCUCCGCUUUCCCUCGCCCCCCACACCUGGCACAGACACCCUCUGAGCCGCCCCACCGUCCAUCUUGGCCACUCACUCGCCCACCUGGGGAUCUGCCCGCCUGCAGAGCCCUCUGCGCAGCUCCUGUCGCCUUCCCGGCCUUCCUCAGGGCUGGCCCUCCCAGAAAGUGGCCUCCUGUUUCUGCUACAGUCCAUCCCGAGGAGCCCAGGCUUAGAUUGUUCAGUGAGAUGAGAGCUGAGCCUUCUGCGUGGCGCUGAGCACCCGAGGAACCAAGGCCACCGAAGAUGCUGACACUCAGGAGCUGAGGACUCCGCUGUCUCCCCUGCGCUGGGUGGGGGGUGGGCACCAGUGGGCAUCGGGGCUUGGGAAAGGGUCUCCUCCUCGGGGGGACAGACGGGGAUGGAGCACGGAUGAGCCAGGGUCUGCCGGCCGCUCCCAGCAGAGCCCACAUCCAGAUGAAGUCCCUGGAAAGUGCUGUCCUCCACGUCCCCGCUCCGCCAGGAGGCCUUUCACGCUGUCACCGCCGAUCUCUGCUCCCGUUCUCAGCUCCUAGGUUCUGCUCAGAUAAACUUCCGCUUUCCUUUCCAGAUGGUUAUCUGGCAUUUCUGACACAUAUGUGUCCAUUUUCCUGAGUCCUGUGGAAAGCUGCUGUUGUCAGGAGUGGAACAUGGACCCCAGGGCUCAGGGCCAGUUUGGUUCUGGGGCCUCCGCUAGGCAGCAGGUGUGGCCAGGGGCUCGUGGUCUCUGAGCCUGCUUCUCCGUUCGUGGCAGUGGAGGCUGCAGUAGCACCUUCCUUGUGGGCAGCUGGGAGUUCACGGAUCUUAGUUCCCUGACCAGAGAUCAAACCCAUGCCCCCUGCAGUGGUAGUGCGGAGUCCUAACCACCGGACUGCCCGAAACAUCCCCUCUUUGAGGGCUGUUGGGAGGAUAAAGAGGGCUGAGAGAAGAUGGGUGUUUGACAAGACUUUUUUUUGGUCAGCUGGAAGGUUAAAGUAGGUUGAUGGGAAAUUCGUCCCCACAAAUUUGUUCCCACAGGUGGGGCGUUGCUGUUGUUCAGUCGCUCAGUCGUGUCCGACUGCGACCCCAUGGACAGCAGCUCGCCAGGCUUCCCUGUCCAUCACCAGCUCCCAGAGCUUGCUCAAACUCCUGUCCAUUGAAUCGGUGAUGCGACCCAACCAUCUCAUCCUGUCAUCCCCUUCUCCUCCCACCUUCAAUCUUUCC
ensembl:lncRNA